rnacentral:rRNA from 1 species
AGGACGAACGCUGGCGGCGUGCUUAACACAUGCAAAUCGAACGGUGAAAGGGACUUCGGUCCCUGGAUCAGUGGCGAACGGGUGAGUAACACGUGGGCAACCUGCCCCUAGCUCCGGAAUAACCCCGGGAAACCGAGGCUAAUACCGGAUAUGACUCUGCGCGGCAUCUCGCGGAGUGGAAGUUUUUCGGCUAGGGAUGGGCCCGCGGCCUAUCAGCUUGUUGGUGGGGUAAUGGCCUACCAAGGCGACAACGGGUA